GCGAGUUCUCCAUUUAUGGACACGUCGCCCGCGCGGCCAGCGCGGGGCAGUUCCUGCCCCCGCCGGCGCGAGCCUCGCCGCUCGUGGGGCCGCUGUGCCCGCGCUGCCCCCGCCCCGGCGGCGAGCUGCGCGCGCGGGGAGGGCGGGCUCCCUCCUUCCCUCCGCCCCUCCCUCCGCCCGUCAGUCCUGGGGCGCCGGCGAGUCUGUGCAGAGCCGCGGGCAGCGGAGCGGCCGCGAUGGGCAGCAAAGGACACUACAGGUAUCACUGGCAGAGCCACAAUGUCAAGCAGAGUGGAGUGGAUGAUAUGGUCCUUCUGUCCAAAAUCACAGAGGAUUCCAUAGUGGAGAACCUAAAGAAGCGAUACAUGGAUGAUUAUAUUUUUACAUAUAUUGGCUCUGUAUUAAUCUCUGUGAAUCCUUUCAAGCAAAUGCCAUAUUUUGGGGAAAAGGAAAUUGAAAUGUACCAAGGAGCAGCACAAUAUGAGAACCCACCGCAUAUUUAUGCUCUUGCAGACAGCAUGUACAGGAACAUGAUUAUUGACAGAGAAAAUCAGUGUGUCAUUAUUAGUGGGGAAAGUGGUGCUGGAAAGACUGUAGCUGCUAAAUAUAUCAUGAGUUAUAUCUCCAAAAUUUCAGGAGGUGGCCCUAAAGUACAGCAUGUUAAAGAUAUUAUUCUACAGUCCAACCCUUUACUGGAGGCUUUUGGGAACGCAAAAACUGUACGGAACAACAACUCCAGCAGAUUUGGCAAAUACUUUGAAAUCCAGUUUAGCCCAGGUGGAGAGCCAGACGGAGGGAAAAUCUCCAACUUCCUACUGGAAAAGUCUCGAGUUGUAAUGAGGAAUCCUGGAGAGAGAAGUUUUCACAUUUUUUACCAGCUAAUUGAAGGGGCCUCCUCAGAACAGAAAAGCAGUCUUGGCAUUACCAGUAUGGACUACUAUUACUAUCUUAGUCUCUCUGGGUCCUACAAGGUUGAUGAUAUCAAUGACAAAUCAGAUUUCCAAGAAACACUGCAUGCAAUGAGUGUGAUUGGGAUCUUUGCAGAGGAACAGGCGUUGGUGCUGCAGAUAGUGGCAGGAAUACUGCAUUUGGGAAACAUCAGCUUCAAAGAAGUUGGCAACUAUGCAGGAGUGGAGAGUGAGGAAUUUUUGGCUUUCCCUGCUUUUCUCCUGGGAAUUAACCAGGAGCGCCUAAAGGAAAAACUGACCAGCAGACAGAUGGACAGCAAGUGGGGAGGCAAAUCUGAGUCUAUUAACGUAACGCUAAAUGUGGAACAAGCCUGUUACACCAGGGAUGCGCUGGCCAAGGCCCUUCACUCCCGUGUGUUUGAUUACUUGGUGGAUUCUAUUAAUAAAGCUAUGGAGAAGGACCAUGAAGAAUAUAAUAUUGGUGUCCUUGAUAUUUAUGGCUUUGAAAUAUUCCAGAAAAAUGGUUUUGAACAGUUUUGCAUCAACUUCGUUAAUGAAAAACUACAGCAGAUUUUUAUUGAACUGACACUGAAGGCAGAACAGGAAGAAUACGUGCAAGAAGGAAUCAGAUGGACACCAAUAGAUUACUUUAACAACAAAAUAGUGUGCGACCUUAUAGAGAACAAAGUGAAUCCCCCAGGGAUUAUGAGCAUUUUAGAUGAUGUGUGUGCCACAAUGCAUGCAGUGGGAGAAGGAGCUGAUCAAACACUGCUUCAAAAACUCCAGAUGCAGAUUGGGACUCAUGAACAUUUCAACAGCUGGAACCAGGGAUUUAUCAUUCAUCAUUAUGCUGGAAAGGUAUCUUAUGAUAUGGAUGGAUUCUGCGAGAGAAAUCGGGAUGUUCUUUUCAUGGACUUGAUUGAACUCAUGCAGAGCAGUGAUUUUCCUUUUAUAAAGGCUCUUUUUCCUGAAAAUCUUCAAGUGGACAAGAAGGGCCGUCCUACCACUGCGGGCAGUAAAAUCAAAAAACAAGCAAAUGACCUUGUUGGCACCCUGAUGAAGUGUACACCCCAUUACAUCCGCUGCAUCAAACCAAAUGAAACAAAGAAGUCUCGAGACUGGGAGGAGAGCAGGGUAAAACACCAAGUGGAAUACUUAGGUCUGAAAGAAAAUAUUCGAGUAAGAAGAGCUGGCUAUGCCUACAGGCGUGUUUUCAAGAAGUUUUUGCAGAGGUACGCCAUUCUGACCAAGGCAACUUGGCCUUCCUGGAAAGGAGAUGAGAAACAAGGAGUUCUCCACCUGCUUCAGUCAGUCAACAUGGAACCUGACCAAUACCAGCUUGGGAAAUCCAAAGUGUUCAUCAAAGCUCCGGAGUCUCUAUUUUUGUUAGAAGAGAUGAGAGAGAGAAAGUAUGAUGGGUAUGCCAGAGCCAUCCAGAAGGCAUGGAGGAAGUAUGUGGCCAGGAAAAAAUAUGUACAGAUGAGAGAAGAAGCAUCAGAUCUAUUGCUGAACAAGAAAGAGAGAAGACGGAACAGCAUUAACAGGAAUUUUGUGGGAGAUUACAUAGGCAUGGAGGACCAUCCAGAGCUACGCCAGUUUGUAGGCAAACGAGAGAAGAUUGAUUUUGCAGACACUGUAACAAAAUAUGACAGACGGUUUAAGAGUGUGAAGCGAGAUCUUGUCCUCACUCCAAAAUGCAUAUACCUGAUUGGACGUGAAAAGAUAAAGCAGGGUCCAGAGAAGGGCCAAGUGAAGGAAGUCUUAAAGCGAAGGAUGGAGGUGGAGAGAAUUCUUUCUGUCUCUCUAAGCACAAUGCAGGAUGACAUUUUCAUUCUACAUGAACAGGAAUAUGAUAGUUUGCUCGAAUCGGUCUUCAAAACUGAGUUUUUAAGCCUCUUAUCAAAACGAUAUGAAGAAAAAACACAAAGAAAUCUACCUCUGAAAUUUAGCAAUACACUUGAAGUGAAGCUGAAAAAGGAGAGUUGGGGGCCCUGGAGCAGUGCUGGUUCUCGACAAGUGCAAUUUAUGCAAGGCCAAGGAGACAUAGCUGUUCUCAAGCCAAGCAAUAAAGUGCUGCAAAUCAGCAUUGGACCAGGGCUACCAAAGAAUUCCCGUCCUACUAGACGGAACCUUACCCAAACUAGAGGGUAUUCCAACAGGUCUCAAAGUCAGAGUUACCCUAUGAGAGCCGCACCACCUCCUCCUGGUCAGCAGCAAAAUGGAGUAAUAAAUCCCCCAGAGUUUGUAGCACCUUCCCAUGUCCCAGGAAACCAGCGGGCCAGUCAGAAAAACCUGUAUACAAAUAUGACACGUCCAGCUUUACCACGGCAACUGUCAGGAGGAUCAGGCAAGAUUUCACAGCAACCAGAAAGCUUGGAUUUCUUGAAAGUACCUGACCAAGGAGCAGCUGGCCUUUAUUACCUGAUGAGCUGACAAAAUGCAUUUCUUCCCUCUUUCCCCUUCCUAUCUUUGGAGUGGUCACAGCUGUGACAGAGUUUGUGCAGCAUCUCCCCUGUUGCUUCAGAGUUGACUAUAACAGAACAAGUCCAUAGAUGGCCCUGGAGUCUGAGGCAACUUAAAAGAGAGACAGUCUCUUACAGCUUAGUCACAAGAAUGGUAAAGUAGCAAGACUGUGAGCUAGAACUUUGUUUUUAAUACUGGAAACUACAGUGAAGUUGGGGUAUGGGGAGAGACAGACUGAACCGUGUAGCUGCCAAGAUACACAUGAACUGCAUGUACACAUUUGUUUACAUUCUAGCCUGAGCACUAAAAUGCUACACUGAGCACUGUGCAUUUGAACUGCUCUUUGGAAGUACCUAUUCAUCCAUUUCAGUAGGGAAGAAAUGGCAACUGGGCCUUUCAUAAGGAAGCCUUAGAUUGCUGUUUUAAAUUGUUCUGCCAUUUAAGAGAAUCCUUUUUCCCUUGUUCUGUGAUACUCUCUAGAACCAGUCCAUUAGCACAGAGGGGUUGAUAAGGCUUAGGUUCAAGUCAUAUACUUCAAAGCACAUUUAUGUUUUUCCUCCUGUCAGGGUCCGCAGGCAGACGACAAACCGACCACCACCAGCUGGAGGAAGGCCAAAACCACAGCCCAAGCCUAAGCCUCAGGUACCGCAGUGCAGAGCACUGUAUGCAUAUGAUGCUCAGGACACAGACGAGCUUAGCUUUAAUGCCAACGACGUGAUUGAUAUAAUUAAAGAAGAUCCUUCUGGCUGGUGGACAGGAAGACUACGAGGGAAACAAGGUCUGUUUCCCAACAAUUAUGUCACCAAGAUAUAAAAGACUCAGACAAAAAUUGGCAUGAAGUUUUACCUGUGGUUGAAGAUAUUUUUUCCUUGCCUUCAGGACAUUUUGGUUCUGAGAUCUGCCAUUAUCAGCAGGGUUUUCACCAGUGAAGUUGUACAUGAGCAGGAAGAAAGUUACCCACAGCACAGACUUUGAUCAUGUGUCUCAGAAGCAUACAGCAAUGGACAUGCAGACCAAUUAUUUAUUAUAUUUAAAACCUGGUUUUAACAGCUAUUAAGCAAAGAGUACUCAAACUUACAAUUUUCCUGAAACAGAAAGGUGCUUUGCAGUCUGGGACCGGGGACUUUGAACUGGGUGUAUUUAAUAAGUGCCUUCAGCUGAAGAUCAGUAACUUUUAAAUAUCAGUAACCUUUGCAGUUAUCUACUGAAGAUGCUAAAUGCACAUUUCCUCUAAUGCAGAUCAUUCUGGGGAAACAUGCUAAGUAUGCUGCUACAUGUCAAAAAGAUUUAGGCCAAUGGGAUAUUAUUACCAUCUAAAAACCUACUGUGAUGGUGUAUUUAAGUAAUUCUGUACAGAGUUGUAAUGGAACUGCUUUGUGUUUGCUGAUGUGUUUAGGGACUCCAGCAGGCAGUCUAAGAAGUUAAACCAGGAAACCACAUAGUACUGUGUGCUAAAUAAUGUUGCCUUCUUUAAGAUUUAUAGUGUAAUAUGGCUGGCCCAUGUUGGACUUAUGUUUAGUGCUCUACCUGUAAUAAGUGUCUUUAUGCAGAGCUGUACAUUUAUAGAAACAGAUCAUAUACUGUAUAUAAAAACUGAGUAUGAUAGAAACAUGUAUGAAUGUAUAAUGUAGUAUUCCGCUGCUGUUAUUCAUGAAGUAGUUCUAGAGUUUUUAUGCCAGGUACUCACAGAUAUGCACUACUCCUUUCAAAUGGCAAAACUAUUACUGCUCAAAUCUGAUUGCCUCCCAUACCAGAGUGGCUGUUCCUUGCCAUACAGUUACCACCAUUCAUGCUUUGCCUUCUGAACCUCCAGAAAAUAAAACAGAAGCAGCAGUUAGCUGAA